rnacentral:rRNA from 1 species
AUACGUAGGGGGCGAGCGUUGUCCGGAAUGAUUGGGCGUAAAGGGCGCGUAGGCGGCGCGGUAAGUCUGGAGUGAAAGUCCUGCUUUCAAGGUGGGAAUUGCUUUGGAUACUGCCGCGCUUGAGUGCAGGAGAGGUUAUCGGAAUUCCCGGUGUAGCGGUGAAAUGCGUAGAGAUCGGGAGGAACACCAGUGGCGAAGGCGGGUAACUGGACUGCAACUGACGCUGAGGCGCUAAAGUGUGGGGAGUAAACAGGAUUAGAUACCCUGGUAGUCCACACUGUAAACGAUGAAUGCUAGGUGUAAGAGGUAUCGACCCCUUUUGUGCCGGAGUCAACACAAUAAGCAUUCCGCCUGGGGAGUACGGCCGCAAGGUUGAAACUCAAAGGAAUUGACGGGG